rnacentral:rRNA from 1 species
UACGAAGGGUGCAAGCGUUAAUCGGAAUUACUGGGCGUAAAGCGUGCGUAGGCGGUUCGUUAAGUCUGCUGUGAAAUCCCCGGGCUCAACCUGGGAAUGGCAGUGGAUACUGGCAAGCUAGAGUGUGUCAGAGGAUGGUGGAAUUCCCGGUGUAGCGGUGAAAUGCGUAGAGAUCGGGAGGAACAUCAGUGGCGAAGGCGGCCAUCUGGGACAACACUGACGCUGAGGCACGAAAGCGUGGGGAGCAAACAGG